GAUGAACGCUGGCGGCGUGCCUAACACAUGCAAGUCGAACGGAAAAGCGCUGCUUUUGCGUGGGUUCCGCGUGGCGAAGGGGUGUGAAACCCGUGAGUAUCCCGCCCUUGACUUUGGGAUAUCCUUAGGAAACUGGGGAUACCACAGGAUACCAGAUCCUGCAGCAUGGGGGUCGUCGGAAAGCUUAGGCGGUUUGGGAUGGACUCGCGGUUAACCAGCUUGUUGGUGGGGUUGCGGCUUACCAAGGUUUCGAUGGAUAGUCGGCCUGGGAGGGGGGACGGCCACAUUGGGACUGAGAUACGGCCCAGAGUCCAACGGGAGGCAGCAGUGGAGAGUAUUGCACAAUGGGCGGAAGCCUGAGGCGGCAACGCCGCGUGCGGAAUGACGGCCUUCGGGGUGUGAACCGCUGUCGCCUGUGACGUAGCGUGAGUGACGGUAAUGAGUAAAGAAGCACCGGCUAACUACGUG
rnacentral:rRNA from 1 species